UUGGUAUGGUAACGGCAUACCAAGGCUAUGAUGGGUAGGGGUCCUGAGAGGGAGAUCCCCCACACUGGUACUGAGACACGGACCAGACUCCUACGGGAGGCAGCAGUGAGGAAUAUUGGUCAAUGGUCGCGAGACUGAACCAGCCAUGCCGCGUGCAGGAAGACGGUCCUAUGGAUUGUAAACUGCUUUUAUACAGGAAGAAACCCUCUCACGUGUGGGAGCUUGACGGUACUGUAUGAAUAAGCAUCGGCUAACUCCGUGCCAGCAGCCGCGGUAAUACGGAGGAUGCGAGCGUUAUCCGGAAUCAUUGGGUUUAAAGGGUCCGUAGGCGGUUUAAUAAGUCAGUGGUGAAAUCUGGUCGCUCAACGAUCAAACUGCCAUUGAUACUGUUAGACUUGAAUAAUUGUGAAGUAACUAGAAUAUGUAGUGUAGCGGUGAAAUGCUUAGAUAUUACAUGGAAUACCAAUUGCGAAGGCAGGUUACUAACAAUUUAUUGACGCUGAUGGACGAAAGCGUGGGGAGCGAACAGGAUUAGAUACCCUGGUAGUCCACGCCGUAAACGAUGGAUACUAGCUGUUCGGCGCAAGUUGAGUGGCUAAGCGAAAGUGAUAAGUAUCCCACCUGGGGAGUACGCACGCAAGUG
rnacentral:rRNA from 1 species